rnacentral:rRNA from 1 species
UAUUGCACAAUGGGCGCAAGCCUGAUGCAGCGACGCCGCGUGGGGGAUGACGGCCUUCGGGUUGUAAACCCCUUUCAGUAGGGACGAAGCGUGAGUGACGGUACCUACAGAAGAAGCACCGGCCAACUACGUGCCAGCAGCCGCGGUAAUACGUAGGGUGCGAGCGUUGUCCGGAAUUACUGGGCGUAAAGAGCUCGUAGGUGGUUUGUCGCGUUGUUCGUGAAAACUCACAGCUUAACUGUGGGCGUGCGGGCGAUACGGGCAGGCUAGAGUACUGCAGGGGAGACUGGAAUUCCUGGUGUAGCGGUGGAAUGCGCAGAUAUCAGGAGGAACACCGGUGGCGAAGGCGGGUCUCUGGGCAGUAACUGACGCUGAGGAGCGAAAGCGUGGGGAGCGAACAGG